AUUGAACGCUGGCGGAAUGCUUUACACAUGCAAGUCGAACGGCAGCACGGACUUCGGUCUGGUGGCGAGUGGCGAACGGGUGAGUAAUGUAUCGGAACGUGCCCAGUCGUGGGGGAUAACGUAGUGAAAAUUACGCUAAUACCGCAUACGAUCUAUGGAUGAAAGCGGGGGAUCGCAAGACCUCGCGCGAUUGGAGCGGCCGAUAUCAGAUUAGGUAGUUGGUGGGGUAAAGGCCCACCAAGCCAACGAUCUGUAGCUGGUCUGAGAGGACGACCAGCCACAAUGGAACUGAGACACGGUCCAGACUCCUACGGGAGGCAGCAGUGGGGAAUUUUGGACAAUGGGCGAAAGCCUGAUCCAGCCAUUCCGCGUGCAGGAUGAAGGCCCUCGGGUUGUAAACUGCUUUUGUACAGAACGAAAAGGUUUCUACUAAUACUAGGAGCUCAUGACGGUACUGUAAGAAUAAGCACCGGCUAACUACGUGCCAGCAGCCGCCAAUA
rnacentral:rRNA from 1 species